rnacentral:rRNA from 1 species
GACGAACGCUGGCGGCGUGCUUAACACAUGCCAGUCGAACGGAAAGGCCCUGCUUUUGUGCGGUGCUCGAGUGGCGAACGGGUGAGUAACACGUGAGUAACCUGCCCUUGACUUUGGGAUAACUUCAGGAAACUGGGGCUAAUCCCGGAUAGGAGCUCUUGCUGCAUGGUGGGGGUUGGUAAGUUUCGGUGGUUGGGGAUGUACUAGCGUCUUAUCAGCUUGUUGGUUGGGUAGUCGCUUACCAAGGCCUUGACGGGUAGCCGGCCUGAGAGGGUGACCGGCCCCAUUGGGACGGGGAUACGGCACAGACUCGUACGGGAGGCAGCAGUGGGGAGUAGUACACAAUGGACGGAAGCAAGAUGCAGCAACGCAGCGUGCGGGAUGACGGCCUUCGGGUUGUAAACCGCUGUCGCCUUUGACGAAGCGUGAGUGACGGUAAUGGGUAAAGAAGCACCGGCUAACUACGUG